GCGAAAGCCUGACGGAGCGACGCCGCGUGGGUGAUGAAGGUUUUCGGAUCGUAAAGCCCUGUCUGGAGGAAAGAAACCCUGUGUGACUAAUAAUUGCGCAGGCUGACGGUACCUCUGAAGGAAGCUCCGGCCAACUACGUGCCAGCAGCCGCGGUAAUACGUAGGGAGCAAGCGUUAUCCGGAAUCACUGGGCGUAAAGAGCUCGUAGGCGGUUGGGUAAGUCGCAUGUUAAAGACCCGGGCUUAACUCGGGGAGUGCGCGCGAUACUGCUUGGCUAGAGGACGGGAGAGGAAAUCGGAAUUCCUGGUGUAGCGGUGAAAUGCAUAGAUAUCAGGAAGAACACCGGUGGCGAAGGCGGAUUUCUGGACCGUUUCUGACGCUGAGGAGCGAAAGCUAGGGGAGCGAAC
rnacentral:rRNA from 1 species